GGAGGGGUGCCCGAGUAGGUUGAAGGGGGCCGCCUGCUAAGCGGUUAUAGUGCAAAACGCUAUCGCGGGUUCGAAUCCCGCCUUCUCCGCCA
rnacentral:tRNA from 1 species